UCACACAUACAAUAGUGUACAGUAAAUAGUGUUCAAAUUCAGCCCCAGUAUAGCAAUUAAUGAUAUUAUUUAAUAAAUGUUGCAUCAAUCGGUUGGCAAUAUACAGUAUAUCAGUGUGGAUAUGGUUGAAGGCAUAUUUAAAACUGAUUUUGCAAUUCUUGUGGCAGAAUGUUUCUAAGAGCAAAGAAGUCACUAGCACAUUUUGACAUCUACUAAUGGUCUCAGCUAACAAACUCCAUUUACAAAAUUCCAUCAAAACAUGACUAGCUCCUAGUUUAAUUAGAUGUUUAUUGUGGUUAUAUUUAGAUUGCAUUUCAAAUUCUUAUGUUUAAUGUUAGAAAUGAAGUAUACUUUGUUACAUUUUCUGAUACAAAUUUAUUUAUUUGUUUGUUUUGUUUUCAAUACAAGUGUAAAAAUAAUUUUAAAUAAAGCCGAAAUGAUUAUUGGAAAUCCAGUGGUUUUCUUAACUGGGAAUUAGGAGCUAUGCCUAUUUAAGUAAGGAAUUUAAAGAAUAAAAAUUUGGUUCAGUGGGUAGCAUUGGUGCCUCACAGCUCCAGGGUCCCUAGUUCCAUCCUGAGCUCAAACGUUUAGAAUUUUACAUGUUUUCCCUGUAUCCAUGUGGGUUUGCUCCAGGUUUCUUCACUCCUCCCAAAAAUAUGCACAUGGGUGGGUUGGCUAAGCUAAAUUAAUUACAGGUGUGAAUGAUGUGUUAACUAUAGAUGUGCUUCAUGCCCUCUGAUUGACCGUUCAUGUUAUUUUCCCACUCUGUGCCCAUUGUUCCCAGGAUAGGCUCCAGCUACAUCACAAUACUGUCCAGGAUAAAGUGUUUCUUGAAGAUGAAUAAAUGAUUGAUUGACUGACUGACUGAAUGGAUAAAUUAAUGUGUGUGAUAUUUAAUUUUCACUUAAGUCUUCAUUACAGAUAUUUAUUUUUAUUGCUUUUUCUUUGUUACCAGCCAUUUAUAUUGUAUCUGUUGAACUUUUUAGUUUAUUUAAAAAUUAAAUAAAAAAACCCCAAAUCUUUACAUUUUGUUUACUGCACUAAUACAUACAUUAUAUAUAUAUAUAUAUAAUAUACACACAC
ensembl:lncRNA